UACUCUGUUGUUUCCAUUUUUUGUUGGUGUGUCCUAAUUGAGUGUUUGAUGUUCUUAUUUAUUAUUAUUAUGCUUUAUUGUUUUAUUUUGAAACAGAUGGACGGAAUGGAUUCUAUUAGUAACCUCUGAGUGGACCCCACAUGGCUCGAGAGCCACGUUACUGUAUAUACCGCAGACUACCGAAUAUUUUUCUUCAUUUCCUUACCCCAAAACGCCCUAAAUCCCUCAUUUCCUUACGCCAUCGCCAUUUGCGUCUCCCUCUCCCUCUCCCUCUCCCAAUCUCCCUCGAUCUCCCUCUCCCGAUCUCAACCCUCUCUCUCGAUCUCCCUCUCACUCUCGCUCCCUCUCCCUCAAUCUCCCUCUCCCUCGAUCUCCCUCUCCGUCUUCCGAUCUCAACCCUCUCUCUCUCGAUCUCCCUCUCCCUCGAUCUCCCUCUCACUCUGCCUCCCUCUCUUGAUCUCCCUCUCCCGAUCUCCCUCUCCCUGCAACAUCCCUCUCCCUGCAUUUCCUCUCAUAUGAAAGAUGUAGUCGUGCAUUUGAAUCUGUGGAAGAAGGUAUCUGUACAGGAGAGAUUUGCUUCUUGCAUCAGAGUUCAAUAUCAUGAAUGAUUAUAUGCCAUCAGGUUUGUCAAUUCAAGAGUUCAAUAUCAUGUUGUUUAUCUAUUGAUCGUUUGGCCUAAAACAUCAGAUUGCUUGAUGGGUUUUGAUUUUUAAGCUUUUUCUGAAAAAUUUUCCACUGACAAUCAUGUGAGUUGUAAAAUCUUAUGAUCAGUUUCAGUGUCCUGCCUUCAUCACUCUUUUCUGGAUAAUAUCAUUAUCUGGAGGGUUGGCCAUUCCUUCUGAGUUGGAUUUGGACUUUGGUGUGCUGUUAUUAUGGUUUUUUUUUUCUUUAUUAAUAGCUUUUGUUUCUAUGAUCUUUAAUAAAUUUGCAGAUUAUUGAAUCUCUGAUAAAUGGGGUGGUUUUAUCUGAAGAGGAGGCAGAAGCUUCUCUUGAUUUUUUACCGAGUGAAGCUAAUGAAGUUUUGAUCAGUGCUUUUCUUGUUCUUUUGAGAGCCAAAGGAGAGUCAUUCGAAGAAGUUGUGGGAUUGGCGAGGGCAAUGUUCAAAUGCUGUAGGAAGGUUGAAGGAAUGACUGAUGUGGUUGAUAUUGUUGGAAUGGGAGGUGAUGGGACAAACACGAUUAACAUAUCAACAAGGGCUUGUAUUCUAGCUGUUGCCUCUGGUGCAAAAAUUGCCAAGCAAGGAAAUAGAUCCAGUUCUCCUGGAUGUGUAGGAUUCCUCUGUGGGUGUCUAUCUUUAUUUGAAUAUGAAUAAGAAGCGUUGUUGCAGAUGUAUGAGAUGCCUUCAGCAAGUGAAACAGGAGUACUACCUAGUGAAGAACAAGCUUGAAUCUUUAUUCGGGGUAAGGAGAUUUCCUUCUAAUGUGUGAUUUUAUUUUCCUACCACUCUCUGUUUUUACAUAAAUUCUACGUUCAUAAUUUAUUAUUACUUUUAUUUUUACAGGCCUGUAGCUACUAAGGUAAAUCAUUGAAUUAUAUGAGAGAUUUCUUAUUCCUUGUAAAUUUGUUUCUCUAAUAUGUACAGUUUUGUUUUUAGUUCUAGUUUUUAAGUGUGUCUGUGUUCCUUCAUUUGGCUUGACAAUGAAAGCUUGAAGGAUAUGUUGUUGUAAAGUAUGCUCUCAAUGUAAUAUUUUUUCCCACGUGGUUGAGAAUUUUCCAAUGCCAUUGAUCUUGCUAUUGAUGUUGUUGUUCUCUGUCUGCAGCAUCCUGAACAUAUUAAAAACUUGAUUUUGGUGGGUCCUGCUGGAUUUUCAUCAGAGUCAGAUGGUAAGUCAGAGUGGCUAACAACUGAAACUUUUACUUUCAUGAUUUCAAGUAAUCCUUCUUUACGAUUUGCAAAAAAGGCACUUGAGGCUCAGCCGUGUUUCUUUCUUAUGGUGUGAUGCGAUGCCAUGAAAAUCCCCAUUGGAGUGAUUCCAUGUGAUUAUCCCUUUAAUAGAUCAAUGGUCUAGACAACUGAAACUUCUACUUUCAUGAUUUCACUGAAUUUGAAUUUGAUACCUUUUUUAUUUUGUACUCAUGGCAGUUCAUGUACACCACCAGUUCAUGUGUCCCAAAUGGCCAGGAAAUCAGGCAGCUCUGCUAGCCAUGUGGCUCACAAUGAUAAUCAGGUGAGAUAGCUUGACCAUACAUGCUUGAAGUUCCUCUUCAAAUGAAUUUUUACUAUUAUUAUUACUGUUUGUGCAUGGCACAACGACUUUUACUUCAAAUGCCCUUUUUCAAAUUGAGCUUCUACUUCAAGGUGACCAUUUCAAAUUGAACAAACAACGACUUUUAAUACCUGAGCCAGUUGCACUCCAAAAUCUAGUUUUAAUUCCUUGUUUGGGAAUUACGUUUUUCCUUUACUUUUUCUGCAGCUAAACCUCAACCAGAAGUAUAUAGUUGAAUACCGAUUUAUGGUUAGUUUUGGCUCCUUAUUUGGGCUUCUAGAUCUUACUUACACCAUUCAUUUCUAUCAGCUCCCCAGUUGCUUGACCGGAUGCGAGUAUCCAUACAUCUUCAUUUUAUUGGUCUUUAUAGUAAAAACAAAAUUAGUGAUUGGUGUUAGUCCACUAGAUCAAUCCUUUCCUUGUUCUAAUGUUGAAUCGUAACAAGGUGUGAUUUUAUAUAAACAGAUGGAUUGAUGGAAAAAUAUGUAUUGUUUCCUUUUCAUAUUGAUGGAAAAAUAUGCAAGUCUUGCUGAACUCAAUCAGCCAACCUAGUUUUUGCUUGGGGCAUGUAAGUAUCUGACAUCAGAUACUUGGAUGUAAUUGACUUGGAUCCAAUCUACUAACUCCAUGCAUUUUGAAGUUCAACUGUGAUAAUAUCAGGACGUGAUACUGUUUUAUCUGUGAUACUGAUAAAAGAAAUCAUGAUAUGAUACUGAUAAGCUGUUCCAAUAUUUAUCUGUGAUAUGGCUGCUGGCAUCUUUGAUUUUACUAAGCUGAAUUAAGAGGUAUUUUAGUUUUUUGUUC